UACGUAGGGGGCAAGCGUUGUCCGGAAUUAUUGGGCGUAAAGGGCGCGUAGGCGGUCGGAUAAGUCUUGUGUGAAAUCUUCGGGCUCAACUCGAAGUCUGCACAGGAAACUAUCUGGCUUGAGUGUGGGAGAGGUGAGUGGAAUUCCUGGUGUAGCGGUGAAAUGCGUAGAUAUCAGGAGGAACACCUGUGGCGAAAGCGGCUCACUGGACCACAACUGACGCUGAGGCGCGAAAGCUAGGGGAGCAAACAGG
rnacentral:rRNA from 1 species